rnacentral:rRNA from 1 species
UACGUAGGCAGCAAGCGUUGUUCGGAAUUACUGGGCGUAAAGAGUGCGUAGGUGGUGCCCUAAGUCUGUUGUGAAAUCUCCCGGCUUAACUGGGAGGGUGCGGUGGAAACUGGGGUGCUUGAGUGUGGGAGAGGUAAGCGGAAUUCCUGGUGUAGCGGUGAAAUGCGUAGAUAUCAGGAGGAACACCGGUGGUGUAGACGGCUUACUGGACCACGACUGACACUGAGGCACGAAAGCGUGGGUAGCAAACAGG